UACACUUACUUGCUUUGUGCAACAGUCUUUUUUUGGGAAGUGUUGGCUGCUCACAGUUCUACAUACGUUGGAGAGAUCAGAGAUUCUGUCGACCUGGUUCCCAGCCCUGGCCCUAUGACUGAUGGAUGACAAGUGUACCAGUGAGAACUGAAACUCGCAGCACCUGGAUCCCUGUCGCUAAGAGGGAAGAACAGUACUGACCUACCUCAUGCAAUGAAGUGUCAUAUGCAUUAACUGUCUAAUGAUGCUAAAGCUCUCUGAGCAUGUAAACGUGGAACAUUAUCAUUAUGGUUAAUACUAGUCUCCAGGUUGUAAGUUUUUUCUUUCCUCAAAGAGAAGCAGAAAGAUUAUUUAAAGAAAUACUGAAUAGAAGGCUACAGUUUGUUCUUAAGUCAUGAUUGACUUUGAUCAGAAUGGUGUAAACAGUGCGUAUGCGGUCUUGAAGUCCUCAAGAUAAUUAUUUCUACUUCAGGGCAUGAAGACUUCUCUUUCUCCUCCUCCCAUCAAGGGAAAAAGAAAGAAAGAAAAAACUUGGAAAGCUAAUGCUCUUAAAAUACAAGACGAUUUGUCAGGACUCCUGAAGACAGAGAUAAGCCUUCUGUUUCCAGUGAUCAUGGGCCAGAUGAAGCCAGCCUCAGGAUAAUAAACCAGGUGAUGGUUUCAUCUCCCAAGUGUGCUUCCUCGUUUAAAAAACAAAACACACAAGGACACCUAGUGUAUCGUGACCUCCAGGGAAGGAGCCUGUCUGAGCACCAUCGAGUCAAUGCCUAAGAAGUAGACCCUGCAUUUAUGAAGAGGACUGUGGGCUGGGAACUUUCCUAGGACCCCUCUCAAUAGUUCUUCCUUUCUUAUGCAGAGUAACUUAUUUCCCCCAAACCCAUAUCCGAGCACCCUGUCUCUACAUAUUCAACAGGGGACCUUGCGAUUAUAAGGAUUAGUCUUUUGGUGGGUGGCAGGUUGAAUGGGGAGGGGAUGUUAAUAAGUAAUUUUGCUCCCUUCACACAUAAUUUUUAUUCAGUCAGAGUGUGGAAGAGUUUUUGCAACAGGUAGUGUUUUGUUUGUUUGUUUGAAAGAAGAGUCAUUGUGAUUAAAGAAAAAAUGUAAGCUUAUCUCUAUUUCCUUCUACUGCUGAAAAAUAGCUCCUUGACCUUCACUGGUCCAGACUUUCUGCUCUGGGCAACCCAUGGGGCAACACUGUUAAAUACAAUUCUUGAAAUUUUUUUCUAAACCUCUUUCUUUUUUUUUUUUUUUUGAUAAAAAUCCUUAAUGCAUCUGUACUAGGAAGCACUCUACUUAUCAUAUGCUAUGCAUUGAAUAUUUGUUUCUGUUCAAUAUUCAUAGGUUGAAAUCCUUACCCUCAAACUGAUGGUAUUCAGAGAUGGGGCCCUAGUGGGUGAUGGGAUCUUGAAGGUAGAACCCUCUUCAAUGGGAUUGCUGCUCUUCUAUGGAAGAUCCCAGAGUGAUUUCCCAUCCCUCUGCCAUGUGGAGACAUAGCCAGAAGGCAAUGUCUGUGAACCAGGAACUGGGUUCUUACCAGAUACUAUUGGCACCUUGAUCUUGGACUUCCCGGCCUUCAGAACUGUGAGAAAUAAAUUUCUGUUGUUUACAAUCCA
rnacentral:lncRNA from 1 species